rnacentral:tRNA from 1 species
GCUCUCUUAGUAUAGAAGUACACUUAUUUUCCAAAUAAGAAGGAAGGAAUCUUAGAGGACC